rnacentral:lncRNA from 1 species
AUCGCACGAAGUUUUCGUGCGUAACGGUAAUUGAUAUAGUGGUCAGUUCAGCUUUGGGACACCGACCAUUCUACAAAUCUUGUGACAAGUAGUGUUUAUGGUCAAUGCAGCUACACGCCCGGAUCAGCAAGUGCCGGCAGGGGAAGAAGGUGACGUCAAAGUGACUCCAAUACAAGUAAAACAGAUGAUGAAAUCGUUCAGCAUAUUUGACAGUAACAACGACAACACCCUGGACAGCGAGGAGUUAGCACAAGCAUUUAGGGUUAUGGGUCUGAACCUCACUAAACAAACAGCUUGACGAUAUUGUCAAAGAAGCCGACGUAGAUAAGAAUGGCCGUGUAGAUGAGCAGGAGUUUAUACGCUUGAUCAUGAAACACAUGCAGAGCCGAGAAGAGGCGAAGAAGGAGUUAAGAGACGCUUUUGCUGUAUUUGAUACAUAUGGUGAAGGCAGGGUGAACCAAGAAGAAUUAGUAAAGACUUUACGACUGUGUGGAGACCCUCUAACAGACAAGGAAGCUAGCCAAUUAAUGUCUGCAAUGGACACAAAUAAAGAUGGAUAUAUUGACAUCAACGAAUUUGUGAAUUUUCUCACCAAGUCAAUACCGAUCGGAUAUUAUACAACAAACACAGGAUAAAUCCCGCAACAGAAUGGCUGAAACAUGAAACAAUGACGCUGCACAAUAUGUUUCUACACAACCCGUUUCAACUUCUGUUUAGAUAUUUUCAUAUAAACAGUGUGUCCUUGUAGCCACAACACAUUUACAGUUUUAUAUCUUUAGCAUUUUGUAUGAAGUAUGAUAUACAAGUUCAAAUGGGAUACUUCUAAUAAGGUAAUUAAAAUGUUAACAUGCAAUUGAAGUUAUGAUUUUUAGAAAGUAAUCAAAUAUUUUGAAUGUGUACUUGAACCUUCUGACUGACUGACUGCCAGGUUCCAACGAAUACCUGGCGUGCUGAGGACAGGGCUCUGAUCCUAAAACACACUAACAUAGAACGUUGACCCUGCUUUGAACGUAUGCCGCCGGCAUGUUCAAACUCUGUCAGCAUUUCUAAAU